AUCUAAGCAUAUUUUGUAUUCACAAAUCAGUUCCUUAGAGGAAAUUCCCUUUAUGGGUAGAUGGCAAUACUUUAAAGAUAAUUACCGUUAAAAACCAUAAGGCUUAUAAUUGUUACUCAUCAAAUUGAUUCUGACUCAUUUGAAGAACUGACUUAUUGGAAAAGAUCCUGAUGCUGGGAAGGAUUGAAGUCGGGAGGAGAAGGGGAUGACAGAGGAUGAGAUGGUUGGAUGGCAUCACCGACUCGAUGGACAUGAGUUUGAACAAGAUGACCAGCCAGCGUGAAGGAGCCCAUGCUUUUGACAGUUCUCGUUUCAAAUAAAUGCAAUAAAAUCUUGAUGAAAUAGAAACCAAA